rnacentral:rRNA from 1 species
AUUGAACGCUGGCGGCAGGCCUAACACAUGCAAGUCGAACGGUAACAGGAAGCAGCUUGCUGCUUCGCUGACGAGUGGCGGACGGGUGAGUAAUGUCUGGGAAACUGCCUGAUGGAGGGGGAUAACUACUGGAAACGGUAGCUACUACCGCAUAACGUCUCCAGCCCAAAGAGGGGGACCUUAGGGCCUCUUGCCAUCGGAUGUUCCCAGAUGGGAUUAGCUAGUAGGUGGGGUAACGGCUCACCUAGGCGACGAUCCCUAGCUGGUCUGAGAGGAUGACCGGCGACACUGGAGCUGGGACACGGUCCAGGCUCCUACGGGAGGCAGCAGUGGGGAAUAUUGCACGAUGGGCGCAAGCCUGAUGCAGCCAUGCCGCGUGUAUGAAGAAGGCCUUCGGGUUGUAAAGUACUUUCAGCGGGGAGGAAGGGAGUAAAGUUAAUACCUUGGCUCAUUGACGUUACCCGCAGAAGAAGCACCGGCUAACUACGUG